rnacentral:rRNA from 1 species
CAGUUCGGAUCGGAGUCUGCAACCCGAACUCCGUGAAGCUGGAUUCGCUAGUAAUCGCGCAUCAGCCAUGGCGCGGUGAAUACGUUCCCGGGCCUUGUACACACCGCCCGUCAAGCCAUGGGAGCCGGGGGUGCUUGAAGUGCGUCGCCGCAAGGCGCGCCCUAGAGCAAAACCGGUGACUGGGGCUAAGUCGUAACAAGGUAUC